GCAUGCGCAUUAGUUUUAUAGUACUUCAGCAUCAACCAUCAGUAUAAAGUAUGAUUGUAUAAUUGUUUGGACUUCACGUGUUUGCUGACUUGGCUCAAGAUAUAGAGACUAGAUAUUAGACACAUAAAACGGCACUGACUGAGACUAUUUAACAUUAGUUUUGUAGUCAUCUUUAUAACUCUAAAGAAAUGUCCUUUCUGCUCGAUGUUUUAAAGAAGUGGCUCAACUUGUUUGCAAGUGCUGUUGUAAUCCUUAUUCAAAGAUGCCUCGGUUGCUACGAUUCUGAACUGGAAGCCUUUAAGAAAAGUCUAAAUGUUGAAGUAGAUUUUGAAGGCUCAGAAGAAACGUGUACGACAAAUCCAGGUCAUAAAAACUUCAUUCCUAUUACAGAGCUGAAGGCAUCACAUUUUCCUGUCAAGUACCGAAAUCAAGACUUACUAAAAACAGUCAAAAGUUUAGGUG
rnacentral:sRNA from 1 species